rnacentral:rRNA from 1 species
ACGCUCGACACCUACGGGAGGCAGCAGUGGGGAAUAUUGGGCAAUGGAGGAAACUCUGACCCAGCAACGCCGCGUGAAUGAUGAAGGUCUUUGGAUUGUAAAGUUCUUUUCUAAGGGACGAAGAAAGUGACGGUACCUUAGGAAUAAGCCUCGGCUAACUACGUGCCAACAGCCGCGGUAAUCUGAGCGGGCUGGCAAGGC